CAGUCGCCGCGGUAAUACGAAGGGCGCAAGCGUUAAUCGGAAUUACUGGGCGUAAAGCGUACGUAGGCGGCUUUGUAAGUUAGAGGUGAAAGCCUGGUGCUCAACACCAGAACUGCCUUUAAGACUGCAUCGCUUGAACGUCGGAGAGGUGAGUGGAAUUCCGAGUGUAGAGGUGAAAUUCGUAGAUAUUCGGAAGAACACCAGUGGCGAAGGCGGCUCACUGGACGACUGUUGACGCUGAGGUACGAAAGCGUGGGGAGCAAACAGGAUUAGAUACCCCAGUAGUCCCUGUCUCUUAUAC
rnacentral:rRNA from 1 species